AUGCUAUUUGGCAAUCUAAUCUUACUCUCUGUCAUUUAUUUAAGGCUUUCGGGAAGGAAGAGAAGGCCCCUGAACCAUCCAUGGAUGGCAGUUAUCAAGUCUACAGAAACAUCAAAUGAAAGUUUGUCUGGAAGACAGAAUGCCUCAGGAAGGGAUUGUUGGGUUUUUCAUAUAAAGCACAUGAAAUAUCUGUAAUUAUGGAUUACAUUUUUGUACCCAAUAUAUGGCUGAAAGGAGUCCUGUGAUAGAAACUUUUAGAAGAUAAUUGAAUGUGUCAGCUGCAUCAAGAAAUUAUGUACUUGCUUCACUUCGACAAACUGUAAUAAAUAGCCUAUUGUCUGGAGAGUUUGCUUGGCAUUUUCUUUUGCAUUACAAAAUUGUGCUAGUCCUUGUCACUGAAUUUUUGGUUAACAACUCAUAGAAACCCUUUGAACUAGAAUUCAUCUGUAGAUAACAGUUACUGUGCAUAGCUACCUAGAAAACAACAGAUUUUAGUAAUUCAACACUUCAUUUCUACUAUUACCCCAGACAAAGAAUAUGUGUAUUUUUUUUACCAAAUUUACUUGGUUAAAAGCAAGAAAUGUCUUAUGCUGAGUGGCAAUUAGCAUUUCUCCAUCUGAAUAAUGAAGUGAGAGAAAAAGCAUUUAUUCUUUAUUCUUUAUGUUUCCAAUUGUGUCUUUGCAUAAUUGGCUUGGAACAGAAGUAUCUUAUUAAAAUGUACAAUCAAUAACAGAAAUAGGAUUUCCAAGAAGAAGAACAAAACAAAAUACAGUUGAUAACUUCCUAUUAAACCUCAGCCUUAUAUUGUAUGCCCUCACUAAGAAGAAUUGAGCUUGUUUAAAAAUAAAUAAAUCAUAAAUCAUAAAAAUCUAGUAGAAAAUGGAAAUAAAUAGUGGUCAAAUCUGUAUAUAAACUGGAGUGAUCAUUUUUUAAGCUCAAAAGGAGUAGAAGAAAUAACAGAGAGGGAGAUCAGUAGAUUUUUCACGUACGAUUUCUCUCAAAAUUGCUUAACAGGCAAAUAAACCAGAGGAAAUACUUGCUUCAAAUAGGACAAAGGGUGGUAUCCUUAAUAGAAAAAGAACUCCUGCCAAAAGGUAAUGAAAGCAUUAAGUUCCCAAUAAAUAAAGGGGAAAGGAACAAAGACA
rnacentral:lncRNA from 1 species